rnacentral:rRNA from 1 species
CACGUAGGGGACGAGCGUUGUCCGGAUUCAUUGGGCGUAAAGCGCGCGUAGGCGGCUCGGAAAGUCGGUCGUGAAAUGCCGGGGCUCAACCCCGGGACUGCGUCCGAUACUCCCGAGCUGGAGGCAGGUAGGGGAGAUCGGAAUUCCUGGUGUAGCAGUGGAAAUGCGUAGAUAUCAGGAGGAAUACCGAUGGCGAAGGCAGGUCUCUGGGCUGACACUGACGCUCAUG